AAAAUAAAAGACCAUGUUAGCUAAGCACAGAGGAUAAAAACAACUUGACCCUCUGAAAGAGAAACCAAGCGGAUAGCUAUAGGCAUAGGAGCGUUUUUGAGGGAGAAUCUGAAUUCAACAACGAAUGACGCUUCGCCCUUUGCUAGUAAUAGUAGUAUAAUUGCUCAAAGUACAGCCACUUAAUACACUAUUUAUGCAGCUAGGAUUUUCCAGGGAGAAGGCCUAAAAGGCAAAUAGAGAGAAAGGCAGGCGGCAGAGAGACAAGGCAAUAAGGCGAUAUUAGGGGACACCCACACCCCACAGCACAGCCCACACGAUCUGUGAGGGAAGAAUAAAAAUUUGGUAGUACCCACAGAGGAGAAGGGGAAUCAAUCAUGCCAUCAGGUGCUAAGAAGAGAAAAGCUGCCAAGAAAAAGAAGGAGCAAGCAGCCAACAACAUCAAUUCAUCAACUAACAACAACCCACAUGGAAAUGAUGAUCCAAAAAGCCAAGAUGAAAGGGACAGUGAUGGUGGCGAUGUUGGUUCCCCUGCAUCUCAGGAUGACCAAAACCACCAGAAUGCAUUCAGUCAGGGGAGAGAGGAAGGGAAAAGCGCACCAUCAUCUGUUCAAUCAUAUGUUACUGAGGACAAGUCAGUGGAAGAAGCAGCUAGAGAUUUAGACAGCACGGAGAAAUUAGGAUUGGAUGAUGUUGUUGCUGUUAAAAUUGAUAAAGAGUUGGAACCUAAGGAGGAUAUGGAGAGCACACGUGUAAUUAUUCAACACGUUGAGCAUGAUAAGAGCUCUAGCAGCAGCAGUAGGAGUAGCAGUAGUAGUUCGGAUGAUGAAUCUGAAGCCUCUGAGAAGAAGUCGAAGGAAGAAGCCUUUAACUUUGUUCCUGAAGCAACCUCCUAUAAUAUUGAGGAUAAGUCAGCUACUAUUAUGUCUGAAGAAGUUGUGAAGGUUGCUGAAAAUGAAAAACUCGGGGAUGUUGAUAGUAAUUCUGCCGUGGAAACUGCUGCUGUUGACAAUUUGGUUAAAACUGUGUUAUCUGUGCCAGAGGAAGUGGAUCAUGCUGUGGAAAUUUCUUUAAAAAAAUCGGUAGUGUCUGAUGUAGUUGAAGUUGGGUUGAAAGAAAGUGAAGAGAAAUUAUUGCCAUCAACAAAUGGGUUUUCUAGGGAUGAAUUGGAAGGAAAUGAAGGAAAAAUAUUCCCGUUGUCAAGUACUUCUACUGCUGAAAGUAGUAAUGUUGCGGAAAAGAUCCAAGAAUCUGGGACUCCUGAUUAUUCUGAAAAGCAGCCUUUUGUUGCUUCAACUCCACCAAUGGUGCAAAGAACCUCAGUGUUAAGUUGCUGUGGAUUGUUUGAUAUUUUUACUGGUUCUGGGAGAUAAUUGAAGAUAUGGGCAAUUGUGAAGCAGUCUUCUGUGACAACAAUAUCCUGAUCAACUUUAUGUUGUGGUGCCCAUUACUGAUCUUGUCAUAUUGUUGAACCAUCUGUUCACGGGGAUUUGGUAGACAAUGGCAGUUUGUCAAAGUCACAAAGCUUUGGUUUCUAGACGUCUAUUACAUUUCAAGGCUUGAUGUUUUUUUAUUAAGAAUAAUGGACAACAGACCUAGCUAGAAAAACAGUUACAAGUUUUUGUGUUAGUGAUAGCACUGACGCUGAUAGUAGCAAGCCGUUCCUAGCUUUAAGUAAAUUCUUUUAUUGGCACUUUCGCAAUGUAGCUUCUUAGCUGGGUUUGUGUUGUAUCUAGUUCCUCUUGUUUUGGGUUGAGUGGAGUAGUUUCCGUAAAAAAUACAAGGUUUAUGGAAGUGAUUUCAGCAUGGUUGCUAUUUUGGCUUUCAUUUUCA